rnacentral:rRNA from 1 species
GACGAACGCUGGCGGCGUGCUUAACACAUGCAAGUCGAACGGAAAGGCCUGCUUUCCCUUGUGGAUUGCGGGUACUCGAGUGGCGAACGGGUGAGUAACACGUGAGUGAUCUGCCCCCAACUUGGGUAUAAGCCUGGGAAACUGGGUCUAAUUCCCGAUAGGACUGCAGGGUGGUGCCUGUGGUGGAAAACGAUUUUCUAGUGGUUGGGGAUGAGCUCGCGGCCUAUCAGCUUGUUGGCGGGGUAAUGGCCUACCAAGGCGGCGACGGGUAGCCGGCCUGAGAGGGUGGACGGCGACAUUGGGACUGAGAUACGGCCCAGACUCCUACGGGAGGCAGCAGUGGGGAAUAUUGGACAAUGGGCGGAAGCCUGAUGCAGCGACGCCGCGUGGGGGAUGACGGCCUUCGGGUUGUAAACUCCUUUCGACCGCGAGGAAGCCACCUGGUUGGAAGGGUGGUGACGGUAGUGGUAGAAGAAGCACCGGCUAACUACGUG